rnacentral:lncRNA from 1 species
CGCUGGGUGAGCGGCGGAGAGAAGUGCCAACAGGAGGAGGGUUUGGGACGGGAGAGCAGAGCGAGUUAGUCAGCAGAGGUCGGCGGAGGGAGCCAUGAAAACAACUCUCCGGCGGGGAGAGGGGCAGGCGCUGCGCUCGGUGCGGCGGGGCUGAAGGAAAUCCGGGGCCGUGGAGGGACGGAAGGGGCCCGCAGAGGGCAGGCUGCGCCGAGCAGGGGCGAGCGCCCAGCCGCAAACACCCGUCCUGGGGCCGACCUCAGGCCUGGCCACGCAGGCUGGGGGCUUGGUCGGGGGCGACCCGGGACAGCCCAGUAGAGUUCGUUUGGGGCUGGGGGCUGGGCGCGAGGAGAUGACUCGCGUUUCUUUCUGACCCUUUUAUUGUGUAAACUUGGCCGCGCUUGCCACAGGAAGGCUAGCCAGAGGGUAAUUAUACAGGUGAGGCCCUGCGGGGCGGGCGGAGCUCCUGGCGAGGCGCUAGGGGUCUUGAAGAGUUUCCUGCGCCCAGGCACCAGGACGGAGAAUUUCUAUACCAGGCACUGCGGAGGUGCCACUGUUCCCAGCGGCAUUUUUUACAAAGGGCAUUUUGAAAACGGAGCGCUAGCCACAGAAUCAGCAGCAAACCUGUUGAAAGAACCCACAAGUGUAUUUCACUGCACCCUGGGUGGAAAUUGGAUGUGAAAAUGAAGCCAGACCGAGACAUUUGCUGGCAGGAACGUCAUAAACUCUGGGAUUAGAGGCCUUUGUAUCUUCCAACCACAUGUGAACUAUGGGAGUAAGGAGAUCCCCCCAAUACUGAAUAAGCUUUCCUACCUGUGUUAAGGAGGGGAUGGACAUGUCUCUUCCCCGC